rnacentral:rRNA from 1 species
AGAUACGGAGGUAGAGCACUGAAUGUCCUAGGGGGUAUUGCACCUACCGAAGACUAUCAAACUCCGAAUGCCGUCAUCUUAUACUUGGGAGUCAGACUGUGGGUGAUAAGAUUCAUAGUCGAAAGGGCAACAGCCCAGAUCGUCAGCUAAGGUCCCUAAAUGUAAGUUAAGUGGUAAAGGAUGUGGGAUUGCACAGACAACCAGGAUGUUGGCUUAGAAGCAGCCACUCAUUCAAAGAGUGCGUAAUAGCUCACUGGUCGAGUGAUCCUGCGCCGAAGAUUUCCGGGGCUAAAAC